CCCUGGUUAGCUCAGUCGGUAGAGCGCUCCACUGGAAAUGGAGAGGUCCCGGGUUCGAUACCCGGACCAGGCA
rnacentral:tRNA from 2 species